GAUGAACGCUAGCGACAGGCCUAACACAUACAAGCCGAGGGGCAGCACAUGAGUAGCAAUACGAUGGUGGCGACCGGCGCACGGGUGAGUAACACGUAUGCAACCUACCUGUAAGAGAGGAAUAACCCGGAGAAAUUCGGACUAAUACCGCAUAAUACCGCUGAACUGCAUGGUUUAGUGGUUAAACAUUUAUGGCUUACAGAUGGGCAUGCGUAUGAUUAGCUAGUUGGUGAGGUAACGGCUCACCAAGGCAACGAUCAUUAGGGGUUCUGAGAGGAAGGUCCCCCACACUGGUACUGAGACACGGACCAGACUCCUACGGGAGGCAGCAGUGAGGAAUAUUGGUCAAUGGGCGAGAGCCUGAACCAGCCAAGUCGCGUGAAGGAAGAAGGUUCUAUGGAUUGUAAACUUCUUUUGUAAGGGAAUAAAAAAGAGUACGCGUACUCUAUUGUAUGUACUUUACGAAUAAGGAUCGGCUAACUCCGUGCCAGCCGCCGCGGUAACAC
rnacentral:rRNA from 1 species